GCUUCUGGGUCCGGAACGAAGGGCACCGCCGGCGAGAUCGCGCCCCGCUGGCUCGCCGCGUGAUUCAGCGAGCAGGGACCCACGGUUGGUGUAGACCAUGCCGAGGCCGGGCAUUCCCGACACAAGGUCUUCUUGAGUUUCCGUUUUGUACCGGUUAGUCUUAUUUGCCCACCUGCGCAAUUCUAGAGGGGGUUUGCUGCUGAGGAGUCACCCUGUGAGAGAAUAAAGGAUAUGGUGAAAAAUGCCACAAGAUCGUGUGUGGAUAAGACAGGAAGCAAGAAUGUUGGGGGCCGUGCAAAUAAUGACUGGUCUGUUUGUUCACUCCCUGGGACUGCUCUGGAUGUAUUUGUUUGUCUCACAAAUUAUAGCAUUUCAAAGAGUAUAUAUUCCUGUUGCAGUACUGUCAGGAUUCCCGUUUUGGGCAGCUGGUUUUACACUUUGGAAUGAGCACCUCAAAUGGAGGAAGCCCAGGAUGCUGAGAAGAGAGUGUUCUCUUGCUGUGUGUAGGAUGGCUAAGAUGAGUCACUGGAAGACAAAGGUAGCACCCAUUUCAAAGUACUAGAAGGAAUCCUGAGGAAGUUUUUGCUGUCAGGAAUCUUUACAGUAUUGUUUGAGAGGAAGCGUUCAAGGUCUUUGAUGACCUAUUCUAUAGUACUGAACAUCUUGAGUGCCUGCAGUGCAGUGAUCGGUCUGCUUUUACUAUGUCUUGAAUUUUUAAUCUUUGCUUUAGCUAAAACUGCUGCUUGGCCACACGUUUGUUGCUAUUCAGAGGAGAAGCUAAGAGGGCAAAGAAGAUGGAACUCAGUCCUAAGCAAGUUGUGUAGGAACUGAAGCCUUCUCUGUAGAUUCCCUCUUCUGCUCUAUCCCAUCUACCCAGGGCAUGACAGAGGUCAAAACAGCUGGGCCUUUAACCAAGACCUGGAAACCAACUUUUCUGAAUAGAGCCCAUUGGAUAUUGCCUGUUUUUUUCAGCACGCUCUCCUUACUUCAAAAUCCCAAACUCUUGAGUAAUUAACUAGUUCCAAAGCUUAUGUUAGUUUGCACUUUGCUGAAUUUUUCUUAUUUCUACAUAAUGAAAAUGGCUACAGUAAUUGGCAUAGCAGACUUCCUCAGGGAAUGACUUAUGUCUGAUUCACUUUAAGAAACAACUUUAAGAAAUGUUAAACUACUGGCUAAGGGCCACAGGGCUGGUCCUUUGCUGAACUUGUCAGCAUGGCCAUCCUGAUGAACUAAUCCGGAUGGCCUAAAUUCCAAAUUACUUCACUACAUGAAAUUGAACCUUAAGAGAAAUCAAUUAAAUGGCACAUGUCAGGAUGGCCA